AAUUCAAUUGUAUUGCCGUCCUGAGGACAGCAAUACAGUUAAAGAGGAUGGAAAACAUUUUUGAACUCUAGUGAAUGUGGGGAUAAACUCUUGGGAGGAUGGGAGAGAGUAAGGAGAGCAAUCUCGUGUGAAAAAUGGAGAGAGUCCCAUUUCAAACUACUACACAGGGCGAUAUAUGCCUUUAACAUUCCAUUCAAA